AUCCCAUGAUUUGGUCACUUUCUUAUCAGCUCCUUUAAUCUGUUCCAUGCCUCGUAAUAGCUCUCUCCAUCUCUCCGUUAAAAAAUUUGUAUUUUGAGUCU
rnacentral:snoRNA from 1 species